rnacentral:lncRNA from 1 species
AACGGCGUCGUUUUGCUCUGUUAUUUAAAAAUUUUUUUUCCUAAAAAUCAUAUUUACAGUAAGAAAAAGAAAAAAAUAAAAAAAUAAAAAAGAUGAGAAUCCUCUGCUAGGGUUUUUCGACCCCAGCCUUGCGCCGCCGUUCAACCGUGCGCUAAGGCCCCGAUUGCGCCGGAGGUGGCACCGGCUCGUCGGCUCCGGCGAUUAGGUGAGUUUCUCCUCUCUUUUCUUUUUUAAAUCAAUAAUAGCUAUAUAUAUACAUAAAAAAAAUGAUGAACACCGAAAAAUAAAUAAAUAAAUAAAUAAAGCCACCUUUAUAUUCAAAAAAGUUUGUAUCUUUCUUUCUUUUUCUCUGUACUUUUCAGUGUUUCUAUGUGUAUUCUCCUCCCUUCUUUUACAGAUUUUUGAUGGCUUUUUAUAGCCAAAAUUACAGCAAAAUAAAAGUAAUAAAAAUCCUAUUUCGUUAUUUGCUGCGUCUAUUGCUGUUUGGAUCCGCUUUUCUCGCAGGUAUGGAGGCCGUGGAAGAGGCGUACGUGCGCGGAGGAUGCGGCGGCAGUUAGGGAGGCUGCUGUUGGGCGUGCGGCUGAAGCUUGUUGCUUCUUAGGCUAGGUUUUUUUUGAAUAUGGGUUUGGGUUUCUGUAAUUGGGCUAUUUGGGUUGUAUUGUAGUUGGGUUAAAUUAGUGGGUUUAUUUAUUUUGGGUUUUAGAUUGGUCCCGGGAAAAAAUUGGGUAUUACAAGAUUUAUAAAUUUAAUAAGAAACACAAAAGUUAUUUAAUUUUUAAUAUAAUAUAAUAUAAUAUAAUAAUAAACAAUAAAAAAUAUUUCCGUUAAGUGACAUACAUAUCAUACAAUAAGCACUUCAAUUAUUUUAUAUAAAAGAGCUAUAUUAAAUAUAUAUGAUUUAUAUUUUUUAUAAGACAAAUUUGAGUUGUGUUGUCAUCGUAUAAAAGUAAAAUAAAUUAUUACA